GACGAACGCUGGCGGCGUGCUUAACACAUGCAAGUCGAACGUGAUUUUUGUGGAAAGCCCUUCGGGGACGGAAGCGAAAUGAAAGUGGCGAACGGGUGAGUAACACGUGAGCAACCUACCUUACACAGGGGGAUAGCCGUUGGAAACGACGAUUAAUACCGCAUGAGACCACAAAGCCACAUGGCUUAGGGGUAAAAGAUUUAUCGGUGUAAGAUGGGCUCGCGUCUGAUUAGCUAGUUGGAAGGGUAAAGGCCUACCAAGGCAACGAUCAGUAGCCGGUCUGAGAGGAUGAACGGCCACAUUGGAACUGAGACACGGUCCAAACUCCUACGGGAGGCAGCAGUGGGGAAUAUUGCACAAUGGGGGGAACCCUGAUGCAGCGACGCCGCGUGAGCGAAGAAGGUUUUCGAAUCGUAAAGCUCUGUCCUAUGAAAAGAUAAUGACGGUAUCAUAGGAGGAAGCCCCGGCUAAAUACGUGCCAGCAGCCGCGGUAAUACGUAUGGGGCGAGCGUUGUCCGGAAUUAUUGGGCGUAAAGGGUACGUAGGCGGCCUAUUAAGUCAGGCGUGAAAGCGUGAGGCUUAACCUCAUUAAGCACUUGAAACUGGAAGGCUUGAGUGAAGGAGAGGAAAGUGGAAUUCCCAGUGUAGCGGUGAAAUGCGUAGAUAUUGGGAGGAACACCAGUAGCGAAGGCGGCUUUCUGGACUGCAACUGACACUGAGGCACGAAAGCGUGGGUAGCAAACAGG
rnacentral:rRNA from 1 species